GCCGUGGUAGCUCAAUGGUGAGAGCAUUGCACGCCUAAUGCAAAGACAUGGGUUCGUUCCCCACCUGCGGCC
rnacentral:tRNA from 1 species